UUACCAUACAUUUUCGUAGGUAAAAUUAAUAUUGCGAUCACAGAGCUCUGUGCUUUAAACAUUAUAAUUGUUAAUAUAAGUUUUGGAUUUUGGCGAUAUUUAGCCUUAACCUCUCGAGGAUUUACUCAGACACUAAUUAAAAAUCUCAGCACUGGGACUUUUGCUUCCUUUGCGGAUUGCGCAAUUGUGGCCUGGGUUGUUUACAGGAGGCCACCAGCGAAGAUCACUAGCACUUGUCCCUGAACAUCACUCCGGAGGGUUGGGGCUCCACUCCGGAGCUACAGCCAUCACAGCUGAGACAAGCCUUUGCAGUACAACGUGCUGGUGGCUCAAUUCACAGGAACGCUACCAGUCUGAGGCCCUGAGGUCUUUCACUAACUAGUGCGGCUGUCGCGACAGCUGCCGCUGGCCAAGUUAAUCAAUCCAACCUCAAAGACUAAAUGAGAAGAAGAUGCUGCGACGAAAUGGUGAGGAGCACUGGGCAAGGCCUGUGUUGCAAAGGCAGAGGAGUCGGCUUCAAUCAGAGUGGCAUGAACGGCCGCCAUCUUUCUUCCACUAACCUGAUCGGAGGCCCUGAUGAUACUGGUUCCUAGCUGCAGAACCUGCAUUCAGCUAGGGGAUACAGCAAACCGGACCUGCCUCCAGUAUACUCUGAGUGCAUCGUGGUCUAUCUGGAUACCCGAUGAGAUCCAUACUGUACAUAUUGCACACACGCUCAAAAGGCUCUCUGUAGCCUUUAGCCCAUUCUCCCACUCAGCCAUAAAAAACCUUGGGGUAUUUUCUAGGAGCCAUCUCAUCUAAACAGCACUGAGAGUGUGCACACCCAAUCUAAGAUCCCUUUAGCACCUUAUCUCUCAUCAGGCUUAGGUGCCCGGGGGCAGUUACAGAAUCUAACCCCUGCAAGCUUUAUCAAGUGAACACCACCAGCGCCAGACAGGGGCCCCUGUCCUUUAUAUUUUUAAUUUCCAAUUUCUCACUCUCAUCUCCAACACAACAACUAAGGUGGCAAACAGGUGAAUCCACCUGAGUUUUCAGAGACUGAGCAUGACUUUUUCAUUUUAAACUCUACCAUACCACCAGCCUACUCAACUCCAGUUACCUCUGGGUAGGACAUAAUAAAAUCUAAGAACUUAUUUUAACAAGAACUGUCGGUUAUCAUUACCAAAUACAGGAGUGGACAAUAGAGUUCUCAUUUCUUUAUCUGUAUUACACACCCAGCCUACCACAGAUUGUUGUAAACUAAAUGUUGUGUUAUUACCUGUUCUGACUUGCAUAGCCUGUGGGUUGCUUUUUAAUGUGCCUGAAACUAACUCACAGCUGAUGGAGGAUACAACAGAACAUCAGGGGCAUAAUACAGCAGGGCUCUCUCUUCAGGUCACUGGUGUGGGACAGUGAUUCGUUUGAGGUUACGAUUUGUAAGUGUGUUUCUUUUAUGUGCCAUAAAAUGUAUGAACUGUUUUGA